GACCGAAGCAGACAGCUCUCUGUUCACUAUCAAUAACAUGCCUGUUUCACAUACCAGAGAACCCCGACAAACCCGGCGCUGUCAGGCAGUCAUACAUGACCUCUACUGCCACCGGAGAGGACAAAAAAGUACAGGGUGUUGAGAUGAGUACGGGAACGGCAAAGGACCUCGAGCCGGGAUUCGAAAUCGGGUCGCCGUCCUUAGCAGAGGAAAUAAGGGUGUGGUGCGUUUUGAGAAGGGGCACAAGAUGCAUCUGGAGUCCUCUGACAGACCUGCUGUCCACACUCACUGACGUUUCUAUAAAGACCUGAAAUGAAGCUCGCUA